ensembl:lncRNA
UUCCAGCCUCAAGGUGAAAGUGCAAUGUAUAGAAAUUAAGUGAAAAAUUAAUCAGAAACAUUUUAAGUUAAUUUUUUUUUUUUUAAAGUUACAAGAACCUGCAUUCAUUAGUGUGCUCACCCUCCUAUAAUUGGGGAUGUAGCUGUGUUCAGUAUGAACCAAUCACAUUCAAUCUCAUGUUCAAAAGUAGCUCUAUAUUUACCUAAAAUGUUUCUGAUUGUUUUUUUUUUCACUUACGUUUUACAUGUUGUAAUGCCAUAUCGAAGGUGGGAAAAGUUCUGACAAUAUUUUUCUUGGUUUAAUUUUUUUACAUCAUAAAAACCUGUCAUUUUAAAAGGAGUGUGUAGUCUUUUUAUAUCCAUUGUAUAUACAUAUAGUGUGCAUGAUGACUGAAGCAUUCUAGAUCACACAGCAUGGACUUAAUGUGGCAAAAAUAUUUCUUAUAUAAUGGGAUGUUUUUUUUGUCCUGUGUCAGUCUUAAAAGUAAUGAAAAUGUUGAAUUUCUUUUGGUCUUGUAAUUUGUAUCGUGUGGAUUCUUCAAACUGCCAGGCUGUAGGGAAUUCGUAACAUUUCUAACAUUUGACCCAUUUGCUGAUGUUUUGCUUAAAUCCAAGUCCAGAAUGAAGAUCCCAUGACAGUUUGGUUGUGGGAUCCCAUUUCCCAAACCUUUUGGUUAUCAUCAUCAGAUACACGACAACAUAUGGGCUCAAUUUUGGCACCAACUCUAGGGAAGUAGGUCAAGUUCAUAACAGCCUUGACUUACUGCUGCUUUUUAUACUAAAUAAUGUUUAUGUACUGGCACAUGUUGAUCAGUAAUUAGAUGAUUUAUUGUGAUACUACACACAAACAUGAUAGAAUUAUUGUGAGUAGAAAGUUUUCCUAAAUAGGCGGAAUGACAGGAGGCUCAUGUCGCUUGUAAGCUGGUAUUUCUAUGUCUUACACAUUCACACUAGUCUUACACAUUUGCACUAGAGCAUUUCUUUCCUUGAUUUAUAGUUAAAGUACAGGUAAUAUUGAUCAAAUCCAAGAAGGAGUCACCUUUGAGACCCUUCGUUUUAACUUUAAACCACUUGGACUUCUUUGAGAGUUUAUCUCUAUCUCAGAACUCACAGAUAUACUCAGUUCUGUAAGGUUCUAUCUAAAUAUGGCUCGUGCGCAAAACUUUAUCUUCUAAUUGUCUCAAAACUGUAGCUCUUGUUGAGAUCUAAAAGUACGUUUCUGGGGAAAUAAAACAAUGUCCCAUAUCUCAAACUUAAAAUAUAAUAUAAUAUAUAAGAUCACAGGUUUUUUUUUUUUUUAUUAACCAUGGCUCACAGGUUUUCUUAGCUUCUUACCUAAACAUAUGAUAUAGCCAGCUAACACAAGCCAGCUACAUAAGUUUUGAGGUUACAGUGCGAUAGUUAGAUGCAAAAAAAAAAAAAAGACAUCGGAAGUACCAAGAGUCUGGUUUGUCUUGUUUUUUUUUUUUUUUGCAUUGCUACACAGAGAAAGAUACAUAAGGUGCUAUUCUUCAAUUUGGCUUCCAUGUGGCACAACAGAAUAGCAUUCGCCAUAUCUUUGGGAGAUCAUAUCUAGUCCAAGAGAGCAGCAAAAUUGGCUGUGCUCUCUAUCUGGGAGGGACAGCAUGCUCUCUCACCUGUCAGAGUCAUACUAGCCAAUCUUGCGCAUCUCCGAGAUUAUGUGUGAGGAAGAGGGCAAAUAGCACUUUCCUUCAAGUGUGUUACGUUGCACUGUGGCUGUUUGGAAAGAUGCAGAGGCUGGCAUCAUGUCUUGGAGAAAACACAAUGCUAGCCUUCACCCUCCCGGUUGGUAGCUGUUGUGUAGCAAGCAAGAAGUGGGUAGGAAUUAGUAAUUAUUAAAAUUAAGGAGAAAUGUGUAUUUAAAAAUGUUUACUUUUAGCUGCCGGCCAAUUGAAUUUUUGAUAAACAGUGAUACGAUGAUACAAACCAUAUGCAUUUGGUUUUAUCAUCCAUCGUUACCCAUCAUCCCUCAGCAGUGCCAAGCCAAUAACUGAGCCCGAUGAUAGCAGUGUUGCACUAACUGGUUAGUCUCCACCACCACAUGUACAAGUGUUUAUUUAAAAAAACUGUGUGUGGUAGACAACUGUAGCCAUAUUCCUCUGUGUGUAUGAGCCUCUGGAGUCAGAGGAGAUAAUUAUUCCACCACAGUGCUGAUAAUGUGGUGGCGUGUGCAGUUCCCAGCCAUGUGGGCAGCCACUGCUUUCCGAUUUCUUCAAUAUCGCUUGCUUUGCUUGUUCGGCCAUUUUGAAGUGAUGGAAUAUCCCGUCUUGCCUUACCUAGCAAUCAGGCCAUCCCUGUGCCUCUGAUAGUAAUUGGGUAUGGGUAUGUGUGUGGGUGUGGGUGGGUGAGUAUGUGAGUGUGUGUGAGUGUGCAUGCAGUCGUAUAUGUGUGUGGGGAAAAUGCUUGUAUUUUUGGCUCUUUUUAAUGAACACUAAUUCCUCAGUCCUUCCUGCAUGCCUUGUUCUCUGCAUUCUCGCACUUCUUUCUGCCAAACACACACACACACAAAAAAAAAACUCAUUAAAACAGAUCCAGCUUCUGUUCUAAAACUGAUACUGCUUCUUUAACAACUUUUCGACUUGCAGAAUCAAGUGCACUCCAGGAUGAGUCAGACAACCUGCUAUUUAAUGAUUUAAUUUCUCCUUCUUUAGUUUUUGUGAUUCUGUAACUGGAGAAAUGGAGAAAAUGAAACUCAAAGAUUUUAAAACCCAAAAGUAAGUUAUUCUUCCUGUACGAGGACAUAUUUUAAUACUAAUUUAGUUUAAACUGUUGAUUUUAAAACGUAUUUAAAAACUAACAAUACCACAUGUCUAACAUAUACCAAAAAUAAAAGCUUUUUAAAAUGGUUUCGUUUUUAUCCUACUCUUCUCAAAAGGUCAGAUGUUAAAACUAAUUUAGCCAAAAAAAAAAAACAGGUUUUAAAGUGAAAAUUGCCCGAAAUGACAGGUUUGGAAAAAUAACAGAUUUUUUAAUGAAAUUUGCCCAAAAGGACAGAUUUCAAAACUGAUUAAAAUUAAUCUUACCCCAAAAAAAUACAGAUUUCAAAAGUUAUUCUUCUCAAAACAGCAAAUUUUAAUAUUUCUGUUUAAAGUAGUCCAUUUUAAAGCAUUAUUUUCACUAAAGAAUAUUUUAAAACUAAUUCUGCCCUAUACCAAAAAUGCAGAGAAGCGAAACUAAUUUCAAAACUAAUCUUUCUCAGAUUUUAAAAAUGAUUUUGCAAAAAAAAAAAAAAACAACACAAAAAAACCCUUAAAACAUAAUGUAAAAAGAAAGCUAUUCAGAAAGACAAAAACAGAAAACUGAUUCUGCCUGACAUGGUUUUAAACUUUUUAUUUAUAAUCUGUUUCCACUUAUGUGCAGUUUGAAUUCUUUUCACGCCUGCUUCUCUUUUUUGCUUUCAUUUUUGUCUCCAUCAGUUUAUAUGUUUUUAGAAAGCAGGAUGGUCCCUUUCAUUAUCAGGAGGAAUAUAAGACCUAAAGUUUUGUCUCUGACUCUCUGAUGAAGGCGUGUUCAAAUGCCACGUGACGCUCUCACUCUCUGUGCUUGUACAUACUGACCGACAUGAUCGACUCGAUUGAACAUUUGUAAUGGUGUCUGUUGGUUUGCCCCCUUCUUUCCUCAGUCUACACCUUCAGAUAUAACCAUUGAUAUUUGUACCUAAUGUAUGAUACUGCAAAUAAAGUAUGAGAAAUAAAGCAACCCUUUUGAAUCUGUUUCCUCUCAUUUCUGUGUUCGUAUGCACAAGGUAUGGCGGUAAUAACAGCUUUAUAACGAAAUUAAAGGGCUCUAAAUUAUUUUUUUAACAUCACGCCAUUAAUAGACCUACUGUUACAGUACAAACAAAACAGUCUUUUUUUAUAACCCAUUAAAAGUCUGUCGCUGCCCUUGUAUUACGAUACGUUUAAUUGGAUUGACU